UCCCACCAGGCUCAGGCAGGAUGACCUCUGCUGCUCCACUCCUCUGCCUCCUCAUGGUCUGGAUUCAUGACUCCUCUGGGCAAAUCGUGCUAACUCAGUCUCCAGAGUCCCUGUCAGUCCCUGUGGGAGGAACAGUGUCUAUCACCUGCAAAGCCAGUACCAGUGUUAGCACUUGCCUGAACUGGUACCAGCAGAAACCUGGACAAGUUCCCAACCUCAUGAUCUACUAUGCCAGUAGCCUCCAGUCUGGGGUCCCUGCCUGGUUCAGUGGCAGUGGUUCAGGCACGGAUUUCACCUUCACCAUCAGCAGUGUUGAAGCCGACGAUGCUGCAGAUUACUACUGUCAGCAGUGUAACCAAUGGCCUCCCACAGUGACACAGCCCAGCACAAAAACUUCCCUGCCGCCUUCAGCUCUGCUACUGUAG